rnacentral:rRNA from 1 species
CCUACGGGUGGCAGCAGUGAGGAAUAUUGGUCAAUGGUCGGGAGACUGAACCAGCCAAGCCGCGUGAGGGAUGAAGGUACAGAGUAUCGUAAACCUCUUUUGUCAGGGAACAAAGGCGGGGACGCGUCCCCGGAUGAGUGUACCUGAAGAAAAAGCAUCGGCUAACUCCGUGCCAGCAGCCGCGGUAAUACGGAGGAUGCGAGCGUUAUCCGGAUUUAUUGGGUUUAAAGGGUGCGCAGGCGGUCUGUUAAGUCAGCGGUCAAACCCCGGGGCUCAACCCCGGCCCGCCGUUGAUACUGGCAGUCUAGAGUUGGAGAGAAGUAUGCGGAAUGCGCGGUGUAGCGGUGAAAUGCAUAGAGAUCGCGCAGAACUCCGAUUGCGAAGGCAGCAUGCCGGCUCCACACUGACGCUGAGGCACGAAAGCGUGGGUAUCGAACAGGAUUAGAUACCCUUGUAGUC